rnacentral:rRNA from 1 species
GACGAACGCUGGCGGCGUGCUUAACGCAUGCAAGUCGAACGGAAAGGCCCUGCUUUUGUGGGGUGCUCGAGUGGCGAACGGGUGAGUAACACGUGAGUAACCUGCCCUUGACUUUGGGAUAACUUCAGGAAACUGGGGCUAAUACCGGAUAGGAGCUCCUGCUGCAUGGUGGGGGUUGGAAAGUUUCGGCGGUUGGGGAUGGACUCGCGGCUUAUCAGCUUGUUGGUGGGGUAGUGGCUUACCAAGGCUUUGACGGGUAGCCGGCCUGAGAGGGUGACCGGCCACAUUGGGACUGAGAUACGGCCCAGACUCCUACGGGAGGCAGCAGUGGGGAAUAUUGCACAAUGGGCGGAAGCCUGAUGCAGCAACGCCGCGUGCGGGAUGACGGCCUUCGGGUUGUAAACCGCUUUCGCCUGUGACGAAGUGUGAGUGACGGUAAUGGGUAAAGAAGCACCGGCUAACUACGUG